AUAACAUAUUGUUUGUUUUAAUACAUUUCUUUUGUUCUAGGAAUGGGUUGUUUUGACGUAUUUUGUUUAAUGUUGUUUUGAUACAUUAUCUUCAUUCAAACAUAAUGUUGCUUUGAUGUUUGUUUGCUUAGGAUAUUUUGGUGAUAUAUUGUUAUAUAUUAAGUAAUACGUUCCUUAACUGGCGCAGUGUAAAUGAACCAAUCUGAACGGUUGUUUUAUGCAUUUUAGAAGACAGUAAGGAUACUGCGUAAUCACUUCUCAAACAUCUCUAUUGCUAGUUGUAACUAAACUAAUUUGUGGACCACUUUUUAAAAAAAAUUACAAUUUUAUAAAAGUUUGUGAUAUUAGUGUUGGUUAACUAUUCUGAAUGUUUCUUGACUUCAAUAUGUUGCAAUAGAUCUGCGUUUUCCAGUUGUAGCUAACCAACCAAGACAAGUGUCACAGCUUUGCAUUUUGAGUAAUGCAAGUUGUGAAAUUUUGAAAAAACUGCAUUUAAAGCCAUGUGUUCAUAAAACAACAUUUAAGAUGAAAAAGUGCUGCUGUGCUUUUCGGAAGCUGUUGGCUAGAUUCCAUACAGGCCAUAUGAACACCGAAGACGAUGAAGGCAAUGGACCUCAUACGGAGGCUGUUAUGGUGGUUAAUGUCAAAAAACAACACAUUAUUUUAUCAUAGAUGACCCUUGAUGAUGGCAAAUCACUGAAAGCGGAUUUGACCACCAUCGACUUUUUCUUAUCCUCAGACCAAGAGAAUGUUCGCUGGAAGGAAAAGGCUACUAUUUAUUUUGAAUAACAAAUUUCGAAGUGUCCGCUCUGCGGAUAAAAAUUUUGCAUACAUGAGACAAUUACUAAAAACGAAUAUAAAAUCAACAUCUAUAUAUUACAUAUAUACAUAUAUAUAUUAGAGUCGUGUUUGGUAGACUAUUUAUAAAUCAAGAACGGUUUAACCGAUUUGGCUGAAAAUUGGUUGGGUGGUAGCUAAGAACCAGGGAUCGGACAUAGAAUACUUUUUAUUUUUAAAUGUUAAAAGUCAAAA